CCUACGGGGGGCAGCAGUCGAGAAUCUUCGGCAAUGGGCGCAAGCCUGACCGAGCGACGCCGCGUGCGCGAUGAAGGCCUUCGGGUUGUAAAGCGCUGUCGAGGGGGAGUAAAGGGCAACCUUGAACUAUCCCUGGAGGAAGCACGGGCUAAGUUCGUGCCAGCAGCCGCGGUAAGACGAACCGUGCGAACGUUGUUCGGAUUCACUGGGCUUAAAGGGCGCGUAGGCGGCUGAUCAAGUCAGGGGUGAAAUCUUUCGGCUUAACCGGAAAAUUGCCUUUGAUACUGGUCAGCUCGAGUGAGGUAGGGGCAGCUGGAACUUCCGGUGGAGCGGUGAAAUGUGUUGAUAUCGGAAGGAACUCCGGUGGCGAAAGCGAGCUGCUGGACCUCUUCUGACGCUGAGGCGCGAAAGCUAGGGGAGCAAACGGGAUUAGAUACC
rnacentral:rRNA from 1 species